UAAUUAGAAUUAAUUAAGAAAAAUUAAUUAAUUAAUUAAAUUAAAUUGAUGAAUAAUAAUAUUGAGAAAAUUAGUUUUUAUUUGGUGUUAAUAAAUAAAAUUGUGUGUUAAAAUGAAAAAAAAAUGAAUGAAAAAUGAAUUGGAAAUUAAAUAAAACAAUUAGAAUAAAGAAAAGAAAUAAUAACAAUAAUAAUGGAUUGGGCUUAGUUUUUGAGUUGGGCUUGGAGCAAGUGGGCUGGUGGUUUUUUUUUAAAAAAAAGCCAUGUGAAGUGGGCUGGGCUGUUAGUAAAAAAAAAAAAAAAAAAAGGAAAAGGGAGAGAACUGGCAGUAGCACGCACGCGGGAGAGAGAAACAGAAAAGGGCACUGUGCAAAUUAGGGCACUUGCCGGAAUUUUGAUCGGACGUUUGGACGGCCAAACGAUCUCCGUUUCGGCCCAAAUUCGGAGGAAGUACUCUAUUCGACUAGACGAACAAGCCUGCGGUGGCUGAUUUUGUUUUUAACGGUCAAAUUUUCAGAUCUGAGAUGCAGAUAUCUCUCCUGAGGAUCCACAGGUGGGACAGGGAGGACUUCAGGAUGCUCCUGGAGCGGCCUAGUGGAGCGUGGCAUUUAUUUGUUAUUGUGUUCCUUUUUGGAUUUUGGGGAUUUGUUUUAGCAAUUAUGACUCAUGGAUUUGCUAUGAAGCUUUAUUUGAUUAAGUUGUUAAUUGUGAACCUUUAUUUUGGACUAUAAUGAAUAUUUAUUUAAUCUUGUUGUUUUGAGUA